rnacentral:rRNA from 1 species
UACAGAGGUCUCGAGCGUUAGGCGGAAUCACUGGGCUUAAAGCGUGUGUAGGUGGAUGCCUAAGUACCUUGUGAAAUCCCACGGCUUAACCGUGGAACUGCUUGGAAUACUGGGUGUCUUGAGUCACUCAGGGGCGAGCGGAACAAAUGGUGGAGCGGUGAAAUGCGUAGAUAUCAUUUGGAACGCCAAUGGUGAAAACAGCUCGCUGGGGGUGCACUGACACUGAGACACGAAAGCCAGGGGAGCGAACGGG